AUUGUUUCUCCUUAGUAACCAUCGGCCCCGCCGCGGUUGGGGUACCAGGACAGAGCAGGUACUUGCCGCGGCCCGAGACUCAGGCCGGAUGGGAGAUGACUUCACCAAGCCUGGACGAGCUCCGCCCGGGUUGGACUCAAGGGCGUCCAUCAUCUUGUCUCUACAAAUGGGCAGAACAGCUCUUUGCUGCAAAAUGCUGAACUCUGGGCUCUGGGUGGAGAGGGGUUCCACUAGGAGACGCCUCAGAAAAGAAGGAGAUAUAGAUGGCUCCUUGAAACUUCCCCACAGAGGUAGUCCCCAAGACUACCCAGGUGGUCUUGGGCCCCAAAGAUUUGCUGCUCCCCACAUUAAAACAUUCCCCCUUGCUUUUUAAAAUCAGAUAAUCAUUCUACCCUCCCUGACAACAUUAAGCCUGAAUGAAAUUUCCCCUGAAAAACGUCCAUCUUUAGACAGCUGAGGGUAAAUGAAGUCACAAAGGCCCACACUGAACGAGUGCUACCAGUUGGUGAGGCCGCGGUACUGCAGGACCCCUGGGACCAUCUUCUCGUGACACUCAGGCUUCUCUCACUUCCGUCUCAGCCUCUUCACUUUCGGAACUGGUGUUCAAGUUACUGGAACAGUCGAUCUCAACUGUUUUUCUCUAGCCUUGUGCAUACUUUCGAAAAAUAUUUUUUGUUCUGCAUAUUCUCCAUAGUCAAGGACACUUGGUAGUAUAAAAUUAACACCGGUCCCCACGUCCAACCAGGAUGGCGUCCAGGGAAGUUUUUCACUUCAUUCAAGAAGAGACAGAGCUUUCAGACCAGGAGCAAGCAGAGAUACAAAAAUUGGGUCUUAAGCAAAGAGACUACACUGGAUUCAGCCAGAUGAACACAUUCAGAAGGAGUAUGACUAGAAGGCUCCAACACCCAUGGUCCAUCUGUGUGGCAGUACUGGAGAGAGGAGGACGAUAGACGGAAUUUAAAAAAUUGUCACAAUGUUAACAUUUAAAAUUUCAUCAAGAAUUUUGGGAUGUAAGACCUUCCUCUAAGCCUAGCUCUAACUCAUACCUUCCAAACAGAUCUUUCAUGUUUUCACUUUGAAUUUAUACAACACAGGCAAAGGAAGACAGUGUUAGGUGAAAUUACAAAGACUUGGGUUCUAGUGUGUCCCUUAAUGCAUGGCCACAGGGAGUAAGUGUUCUUUCCUCUCCUUUGUGAAGUCAGUUGGGCAUAGAAAACAAGUGAUUCAGAAGUUAAACGUAAAACUGAAAUGCUCCCAUCUGUUUAAGGAAUAAAAAUACAAAAAUGUUUUCUGGAA